rnacentral:rRNA from 1 species
CGGCGGACGGGUGAGUAACACGUGGGUAACCUACCUAUAAGACUGGGACAACUUCGGUAAACCGGAGCUAAUACCGGAUAAUAUGUUGAACCGCAUGGUUCAAUAGUGAAAGAUGGUUUUGCUAUCACUUAUAGAUGGACCCGCGCCGUAUUAGCUAGUUGGUGAGGUAACGGCUCACCAAGGCAACGAUACGUAGCCGACCUGAGAGGGUGAUCGGCCACACUGGAACUGAGUCACGGUCCAG